CGCGUAGGAAUCUACCUGGUAGUGGGGACGAACUUGUGGAAACGCAAGCUAAUACCGCAUACGCCCUAAGGGGAAAAGCGGGGAGUCUUCGGACCUCGCGCUAUCGGAUGAGCCUGCGUAGGAUUAGCUAGUUGGUGAGGUAAAAGCUCACCAAGGCGACGAUCCUUAGCUGGUCUGAGAGGAUGAUCAGCCACACUGGGACUGAGACACGGCCCAGACUCCUACGGGAGGCAGCAGUGGGGAAUAUUGCGCAAUGGGGGCAACCCUGACGCAGCCAUGCCGCGUGUGUGAAGAAGGCCC
rnacentral:rRNA from 1 species